rnacentral:misc_RNA from 1 species
GCCCUUCGCUCCGUAAUGUGAAUUGCAGAAUUCAGUGAAUCAUCGAAUCUUUGAACGCAGCUUGCGCUCCUUGGUAUUCCUUGGAGCAUGCCUGUUUGAGUAUCAUGAAAUCUUCAAAGUAAAUCUUUUGUUAACUCAAUUGGUUUCUACUUUGGUAUUGGAGGUCUUUGCAGCUUCACACCUGCUCCUCUUUGUUCAUUAGCUGGAUCUCAGUGUUAUGCUUGGUUCCACUCGGCGUGAUAAGUUAUCUAUCGCUGAGGACACUGUAAAAGGUGGCCAAGGUAAAUGCAGAUGAACCGCUUCUAAUAGUCCAUUGACUUGGACAAUACUUUUAUGAUCUGAUCUCAAAUCAGGUAGGACUACCCGCUGAACUUAAGC